rnacentral:sRNA from 1 species
GGGAUAUACCUCUUUAAAAUUGUAUGAAAAUAAGAUUGCAAACAACAAAUCUAAAAUGUCAAAAGUAGGCAAGAUAGCAUUGAAUACUGGUACUUCAGUAGGAGGU